CCCUUAGAUGUUCUGGGCCGCACGCGCGCUACACUGAUGCAUUCAACGAGUCUAAAACCUGCUCUGAUAGGGGUGGGUAAUCUUUUGAAUGUGCAUCGUGAUUGGGAUAGAUGAUUGCAAUUUUUCAUCUUCAACGAGGAAUGCCUAGUAAACGCAAGUCAUCAGCUUGCAUUGAUUACGUCCCUGCCCUUUGUACACACCGCCCGUCGCUCCUACCGAUUGAAUGAUCCGAUGAAUAUCAUGGAUUGAGGAUGCAAGCAGGUUCGCCUGUCUUCAUCAUCGAGAAGUGAAGUAAAUCUUAUCAUUUAGAGGAAGGAGAAGUCGUAACA
rnacentral:rRNA from 1 species